CAGAGUUGCAAGACUCCCUAAACCAUUGUGAACGUUACCUAUACCGUUGCUUCGGCGGGCGGCCCCGGGUUCUCCCCGGCCCCCUGGGCCCCAUCGCGGGCGCCCGCCGGAGGUACUCCAAACUCUUGAUACUUAGUGGCCUCUCUGAGUCUUCUGUACUGAAUAAGUCA
rnacentral:misc_RNA from 1 species